UGAACGCUGGCGGCAGUAGCUAAAACAUGCAAGUCGAGCGAAGCAGCAGCAAUGCUGACUGAGCGGCGAAAGGGUGAGGAAUACAUUCCUACGUACCGUGAGGUCGGGGAUAGCCAGGGGAAACUCUGGGUAAUACCCGAUGUGGUCGCAAGAUCAAAGAUUCAUCGCCUCAUGAGCGGGGAAUGUCCUAUCAGGUAGUUGGUGGGGUAAUGGCUCACCAAGCCUAAGACGGGUAGCAGGUGUGAGAGCACGGCCUGCCACAUCGAAACUGAGACACUGUUCGGACUCCUACGGGAGGCUGCAGUAACGAAUCUUCCGCAAUGCGCGAAAGCGUGACGGGGUAAUGCCGCGUGCAGGAUGAAGCCCCUCGGGGUGUAAACUGCUGUCAGGAACCAGGAACGCAAUGACCAGUUCCAGAGGAAGAGCCGGCUAACUCUGUGCCAGCAG
rnacentral:rRNA from 1 species